AGAGUUUGAUUAUGGCUCAGGAUGAACGCUGGCGGCGUGCUUAACACAUGCAAGUCGAACGGAGUUUUAACGGAAGUUUCGGAUGGAAGUUUAGAAACUUGGUGGCGGACGGGUGAGUAACGCGUGGGUAACCUGCCUCAUACAGGGGGAUAACAGUUAGAAAUGACUGCUAACACCGCAUAAUAUAGCGAAACCGCAUGAUUUUGCUAUCAAAUAUUUAUAGGUAUGAGAUGGGCCCGCGUCUGAUUAGCUAGUUGGUGGGGUAAAAGCCUACCAAGGCGACGAUCAGUAGCCGGCUUGAGAGAGUGACCGGCCACAUUGGGACUGAGACACGGCCCAAACUCCUACGGGAGGCAGCAGUGGGGAAUAUUGGACAAUGGGGGAAACCCUGAUCCAGCGAACCGCCGCGUGAGUGAAGAAGUAUUUCGGUAUGUAAAGCUCUAUCAGCAGGGAAGAUAAUGACAGUACCUGACUAAGAAGCCCCGGCUAACUACGUGCCAGCAGCCGC
rnacentral:rRNA from 1 species